AUUGAACGCUGGCGGCAUGCUUUACACAUGCAAGUCGAACGGUAACAGGCCGCAAGGUGCUGACGAGUGGCGAACGGGUGAGUAAUGCAUCGGAACGUGCCCAGUCGUGGGGGAUAACUACUCGAAAGAGUAGCUAAUACCGCAUACGAUCUAUGGAUGAAAGCGGGGGACCGUAAGGCCUCGCGCGAUUGGAGCGGCCGAUGUCAGAUUAGGUAGUUGGUGGGGUAAAGGCUCACCAAGCCAACGAUCUGUAGCUGGUCUGAGAGGACGACCAGCCACACUGGGACUGAGACACGGCCCAGACUCCUACGGGAGGCAGCAGUGGGGAAUUUUGGACAAUGGGCGCAAGCCUGAUCCAGCAAUGCCGCGUGCAGGAAGAAGGCCUCCGGGUUGUAAACUGCUUUUGUACGGAACGAAACGGCUCUGGUUAAUACCCGGGGCUAAUGACGGUACCGUAAGAAUAAGCACCGGCUAACUACGUG
rnacentral:rRNA from 1 species